UACAUGAUAUAUAUGCUUCCUGACUUCCAUAAUUUGAAUCAACAUUGUAGACUACUCGAGAGGCCCCCAGAACUCGUUUGGAAGAGGGAUCUUAUUUUCCAAAAGUCUGCUGCUGCAGAUCAACUGACAUUUUUUACGGAGGAUGAUUGGAAAUUACUCUGUGAAGAUUGGGGUGGCACAUUGUCCAAAUGUAUUGCUCCCAGCAUUGAGAUUGAUGAUACUGUGCAAUAAAUCAAAAAGGAGAUGCCUGCUUCUGAGGAGCGUAUUAACAUAUCUGAAGUCAAUUCUAGUCAGUGUGGUAGGCCUACUGUUAAGACUUCUCCACAGGUUUGUGAGGAGUGUAUUGGUGAAAGGGAAAGCUCUGAAUUGGUGAUGAAACUUAAUUAUACCAAUGAGGAUAUUUGUGUUUGUUUAAUCCGCGGUAAGGAGCCUCCCAAAUCAAUCUUGGAA